UCUGGGGUGAAUGUUCUUGAUUCCAUCAAGGCCGUUAACAAGUCAUCCACGAGCACAAGAGAGUCAGAAAUGGCAAGAUUCCCAAUUAAGACUCCGAACCCGCUGCAUUAUUUAGCGGCGCACAGAACACUUGUGCUUUCUCAUGGUGAAGCGGGUUGAUUUUGAAAACCAUGGGAAGAUGGACAACGAUGUGAACGGACUCAAUUCACCGGACUUGAUUCAAGUGAAAUGCUUCAUAUCAGUCUCAGAGGCUGUCAGUUUGACAGGAUUUACAUAGAAAACAYGCUUAAAAGAUCUUAAACGUUCAAAGUAACCGCGAACUGAUGAUAUAUUCACCCUACUAUGUAUAUUUUAAAAUGUUAUCAUCUUUUGCUGUCGGUUGUCAUAGAGUUCAUUCKGAAGUUCACAGUGGUUUGUAUUUACAUUCGAUUCAGGAAGCUCAAGCUAAGAAUUGUUUACAUGAUAGUGGCGUAUCAGUAAUGAAUAAUGUYCUUAACUAAAUAACGUAAUAUACAAUCAUGAUAUUUGAUUGGUAGAUAGCCGAUUGGUAGAAUAUGGAUGGAUUAUGAGAUUGCAUAAGAUUGGAUGGAAUAGGGUUGGAAUAAAUGAGAUAUAUUGAUG